rnacentral:rRNA from 1 species
UACGUAGGUGGCAAGCGUUGUCCGGAUUUACUGGGCGUAAAGAGCGCGCAGGCGGUCGUUCAAGUCGCGUGUGAAAGCCCCCGGCUCAACUGGGGAGGGUCACGCGAUACUGAUCGACUCGAAGGCAGGAGAGGGAAGUGGAAUUCCCGGUGUAGUGGUGAAAUGCGUAGAUAUCGGGAGGAACACCGGUGGCGAAGGCGGGUCUCUGGGCAAUUCCUGACGCUGAGGCGCGAAAGCGUGGGGAGCAAACGGG